rnacentral:rRNA from 1 species
GCACGGAGUUAGCCGGGGCUUAUUCUCCCGGUACUGUCAUUAUCAUCCCGGGUAAAAGAGCUUUACAACCCUAAGGCCUUCAUCACUCACGCGGCAUUGCUGGAUCAGGCUUUCGCCCAUUGUCCAAUAUUCCCCACUGCUGCCUCCCGUAGGAGUCUGGGCCGUGUCUCAGUCCCAGUGUGGCUGAUCAUCCUCUCAGACCAGCUACGGAUCGUCGCCUUGGUGAGCUCUUACCUCACCAACAAGCUAAUCCGACGCGGGCUCAUCCCUGGGCGAUAAAUCUUUGGACCGAAGUCAUCAUUCGGUAUUAGCAGUCGUUUCCAACUGUUAUCCCGAACCCAAGGGCAGAUUCCCACGCGUUACGCACCCGUGCGCCACUAGACCCGAAGGUCUCGUUCGACUUGCAUGUGUUAGGCAUGCCGCCAGCGUUCGUU